AUGUAUUCAGUCCGAAGGGGACCUCGAGGCAGAAAAGGACGACUGGUGGAUGAGCAUACCCAUGAGGUGAGCAGCAGUGAGCUUGAACAUACAAGUACAGACCUGUCUCAGUUCGACGCCCUGCCGCUGAUUAGCCCACCUCCUACACUUCAAUCAGCUGAUAGGGUUGAGGAACAUUCUACCAAGGCGAGAAGCUGUGAGCCUGGCGGUACAAGUGCGGACCUGUCAAAAGUUGAGGGCAUUUCGCUGAAUGUCACAUCUCCUGCAUAUGAAUCAACUGAUGGGGUUGUGGUGCAUGCCAGCAACAUAGACAGCAGUGCGCUUGAUUCUACAAAUGCGAAGCAACCAGCUGUUCAGGAAGCAUUAUCCUUGAAGUCAGAAGAAACGUGGCGGGAAAUAAAUGAAUACCUUGCUGAGCAUACAUAUAGUGACAUCUGGGAGGCCUUGGUUGCUGUGAAAAAUGGCUUCUGCGACCCACCCAAAAAGGUUUCCUACCCCAACAAACAGUCAUCAGAAAAGCUUGCGUUACCUGAUUCACCAGAGUCUCCACAUCGAUUGGAUGCUCAAUCCUUUCAGACAAAAAUACAGUGUGGAGAAUCUACAGAACAAAUCACUAAAAACGGGAAACUAUGGAUGGAGAAGGAAGUCAUGAAGGCUUUUAAGAAGUGCAUCAUAGUAAAGGAGGGAUUGACUGGUGUGGACUUUGAACUAGAUGAGCUUCUGCAUCAGUGUUUCAGUGUGGAGACAUAUGACAAGAUCUUCCACCACUAUAACUUUACGUGA
rnacentral:rRNA from 1 species